UAAAAUAUUUAAUUUGUACAUAGUUUAGUGAACAAGUCAGAUGUUGUUUCUUGUAUGUCUUCUGCUUCUUCCAUGUCUUCCGCCUUUUCCGUCUUCUUCUGUAAAACCUCUAUGGGACUUGUAGCUUUCUUCCUCACUAUUUCACCACCAGAUUCUCCCGUUUUCUCCUGCUUUUGUAAAACCGCAAUGGAAUAUUUGUAGCUUUCACUACUAGAAAUUGGGCCUAUGGGAACAGUUUGUUGGCAACGGUUGAUAUAACUGUUGCUAUAGAUGGUCUAUUACAACAUUUAUAAUCGUUGCAUAGGGUAUGGAUCCUGUUGAGACACUUUUGUAAGUAAACCGUUGUAGUAGUGUUAGAAUCGUUCCAUUAGUCUUUUCUAUAGCCACGGUUUUCAUAACCAUCACAAUAGGUAUAUCUAUGGAAACGGUUAUCUUAAAAUAAAAUCUAUUGGGACGGUUCAGAUUCCCUCCUUAUUUUCCCUUUCUAUUUUUCUCAAAUCCCUAACCUUUUGAGUGGAGUUUUAUUUUAGUUGCUAAUAUUUCUAAGCCUGAUGAGAGACAAAGUAGUACUCUAAGACCUUUUGUUGCCAAGUUCAAAUCGAUAGUUGAAUAAAAAAUAUAGCAUCUUGAUAUAACACUCCUAAAGAAGACUCCAUCGUUUUGAAGCGAUAAUAUGGAGGUCUAUUCUGCCUAUGGAGGUCGCGAAUCUGGACUUCUAAAGAACAUAGCUUUUUCUUCUAUAGCUAGGUCCCAUUUCGCUGGUAAAGGUCGCCGAUCUGGGCUGCUAAAAGAACUCAUUGUUUUCUUGCACAACUAAGUCUAUUAUCGAGCAAAGCCAACCCCAUUUCACAUUUAGUUCUUUUCGGUGUACAACAUCAUUGGCAAUAGUGGAAUCAAAUGCUAUCGAAUUUGUGCUAAGGCUUUUUGGUAGCAAACGGGCACAACCAGUAGUGCAAGAAUCUGCUGCGAAGGGCAUUUUACAGAGGUUACCUGCUGGACAUUUGCAUAGUUUUAGAUUCAAGAUUAUCUCGAAGGUGCAACGAUUGCGGAUGAAAGCAGUGAAGAAGACCUUACUUGAAAGUACUAUUAUCGUGUUCAAUAUUUUAUUUUAUAACUUUUUGUAUGCAAACUCAUCUAUUUUGACUUUUGAAUUGUUGAUCAAACAAUGUAUUCAUAUUUUGUUUUUGUAUAUGGAUAAAGCUAGUUGAAUAUUUUUAUUUUA